rnacentral:misc_RNA from 1 species
CCAUGCAUCGCUUUUGCGAAGCUACCCUUGCCUAUGAGUACCUUUUGUUCCCUCGGCGGGCUCGCGCCCGUCGCUGGGCCCAACCAAACCCCUUUGCAGUAGCAGUAUACCUCUGAUCGUGGGCACUUGAAUCUUUA